rnacentral:rRNA from 2 species
AACGCUGGCGGCGUGCCUAAUACAUGCAAGUCGAACGAACUCUGGUAUUGAUUGGUGCUUGCAUCAUGAUUUACAUUUGAGUGAGUGGCGAACUGGUGAGUAACACGUGGGAAACCUGCCCAGAAGCGGGGGAUAACACCUGGAAACAGAUGCUAAUACCGCAUAACAACUUGGACCGCAUGGUCCGAGUUUGAAAGAUGGCUUCGGCUAUCACUUUUGGAUGGUCCCGCGGCGUAUUAGCUAGAUGGUGAGGUAACGGCUCACCAUGGCAAUGAUACGUAGCCGACCUGAGAGGGUAAUCGGCCACAUUGGGACUGAGACACGGCCCAAACUCCUACGGGAGGCAGCAGUAGGGAAUCUUCCACAAUGGACGAAAGUCUGAUGGAGCAACGCCGCGUGAGUGAAGAAGGGUUUCGGCUCGUAAAACUCUGUUGUUAAAGAAGAACAUAUCUGAGAGUAACUGUUCAGGUAUUGACGGUAUUUAACCAGAAAGCCACGGCUAACUACGUGCCAGCAGCCGCGGUAAUACGUAGGUGGCAAGCGUUGUCCGGAUUUAUUGGGCGUAAAGCGAGCGCAGGCGGUUUUUUAAGUCUGAUGUGAAAGCCUUCGGCUCAACCGAAGAAGUGCAUCGGAAACUGGGAAACUUGAGUGCAGAAGAGGACAGUGGAACUCCAUGUGUAGCGGUGAAAUGCGUAGAUAUAUGGAAGAACACCAGUGGCGAAGGCGGCUGUCUGGUCUGUAACUGACGCUGAGGCUCGAAAGUAUGGGUAGCAAACAGGAUUAGAUACCCUGGUAGUCCAUACCGUAAACGAUGAAUGCUAAGUGUUGGAGGGUUUCCGCCCUUCAGUGCUGCAGCUAACGCAUUAAGCAUUCCGCCUGGGGAGUACGGCCGCAAGGCUGAAACUCAAAGGAAUUGACGGGGGCCCGCACAAGCGGUGGAGCAUGUGGUUUAAUUCGAAGCUACGCGAAGAACCUUACCAGGUCUUGACAUACUAUGCAAAUCUAAGAGAUUAGACGUUCCCUUCGGGGACAUGGAUACAGGUGGUGCAUGGUUGUCGUCAGCUCGUGUCGUGAGAUGUUGGGUUAAGUCCCGCAACGAGCGCAACCCUUAUUAUCAGUUGCCAGCAUUAAGUUGGGCACUCUGGUGAGACUGCCGGUGACAAACCGGAGGAAGGUGGGGAUGACGUCAAAUCAUCAUGCCCCUUAUGACCUGGGCUACACACGUGCUACAAUGGAUGGUACAACGAGUUGCGAACUCGCGAGAGUAAGCUAAUCUCUUAAAGCCAUUCUCAGUUCGGAUUGUAGGCUGCAACUCGCCUACAUGAAGUCGGAAUCGCUAGUAAUCGCGGAUCAGCAUGCCGCGGUGAAUACGUUCCCGGGCCUUGUACACACCGCCCGUCACACCAUGAGAGUUUGUAACACCCAAAGUCGGUGGGGUAACCUUUUAGGAACCAGCCGCCUAAGGUGGGACAGAUGAUU